ensembl:antisense Pax6os1 paired box 6 opposite strand 1
CAACUCUGGAAUAAGGAACUCUCGGAGGAGAGGACCCCCGUUCAGUUCCCAGUGUUGACUGAGGAGUUGGCAUCAUUGCCAGUGAUAAAGAUGCUGGAUGAUGAUGAGAGACUUGUCUGUGUUUACGUUGGGCAUACGCUUCACAAGUGAACCUCAUGGAUGUCCCUCCACAGCCUCUGAAACUGAAGCUCCUAUCACAGGUGGCAUUCUGAUGUACUGGGUCCCUGCAGAAAAGAAAAAGCCACCAUGGCUUGUGCUUCCCCCCUGAUGCUGAGAUCUGUGGCUGAAAGGAGAUGGAGGACAAGCCUGGGGACUGGAGCAAGCUGGUACAAGCUUCUAGGAACUAUACCAUAGUCAUCUCCCACAACCUGGAGACCAAGAAGACCUGAAUGAAGCUGCCUUCAGGGUCCAAGAAGGUGAAUUCCUCAGCCAACAGAGCUGUUGUUAAGGGCAAAAUUGGCUAGAGAUGGACAGCUGGCUAACACAGAGCCACAAGGCAAGUUUGUGAUCACCUUGGGUCCUGGAACUCCACCCUGUGCCCCCUCUAUACUAAGGUACCAUGAUUCUUAACCUCUGAAGAUUUAAUGAUGUAAAGGGCAG